UACAGAGGGUGCGAGCGUUGUCCGGAAUCACUGGGCGUAAAGGGCGCGUAGGCGGCUCAGUAAGGUUGCGGUGAAAGCCCGGGGCUCAACCCCGGGUCGGCCGUGGCAACUGCUGGGCUGGAGCACUGUAGAGGCAGGUGGAAUUCCGGGUGUAGCGGUGGAAUGCGUAGAGAUCCGGGAGAACACCGGUGGCGAAGGCGGCCUGCUGGGCAGUAGCUGACGCUGAGGCGCGACAGCGUGGGGAGCAAACAGG
rnacentral:rRNA from 1 species